CUUAAAGGAAUUGACGGGGACCCGCACAAGCGGUGGAUGAUGUGGUUUAAUUCGAUGCAACGCGAAAAACCUUACCUACCCUUGACAUGCCAGGAACUUGCCAGAGAUGGCUUGGUGCUCGAAAGAGAGCCUGGACACAGGUGCUGCAUGGCCGUCGUCAGCUCGUGUCGUGAGAUGUUGGGUUAAGUCCCGCAACGAGCGCAACCCUUAUCAUUAGUUGCUACGCAAGGGCACUCUAAUGAGACUGCCGGUGACAAACCGGAGGAAGGUGGGGAUGACGUCAGGUCAUCAUGGCCCUUAUGGGUAGGGCUACACACGUCAUACAAUGGCCGGUACAGAGGGCUGCCAACCCGCGAGGGGGAGCUAAUCUCAGAAAACCGGUCGUAGUCCGGAUCGUAGUCUGCAACUCGACUGCGUGAAGUCGGAAUCGCUAGUAAUCGCGGAUCAGCUUGCCGCGGUGAAUACGUUCCCGGGUCUUGUACACACCGCCCGUCACACCAUGGGAGCGGGUUCUGCCA
rnacentral:rRNA from 1 species